AAUGAACGUUGGCGGCGUGGAUUAGGCAUGCAAGUCGCGCGAGAAGUCAUUUAGCUUGCUAAAAGACGGACAGCGGCGGAAGGGAGAGUAACGCGUGGUUAUGUACCAUCGAGACCGGGAUAGUGUCGGGAAACUGGCAGUAAUACCGGAUAACAUCUUCGGAUCAAAUGGUGUGAUUCCGCUCGAGGAUCGGACCGCGUACUAUUAGCUAGUUGGAGGGGUAAUGGCCCACCAAGGCUUAGAUGGUUACCGGGUGUGAGAGCAUGGCCCGGCUCACUGGGACUGAGACACUGCCCAGACAUCUACGGAUGGCUGCAGUCGAGAAUCUUCGGCAAUGGACGAAAGUCUGACCGAGCGACGCCGCGUGCGGGAUGAAGGCCUUCGGGUUGUAAACCGCUGUCAGUUAGGAGGAAAUCCAUGAGGGUUCUCUCUCAUGGUUGACCGAUUUUCAGAGGAAGGACGGGCUAAGUUCGUGCCAGCCGCCGCCGUAAAAC
rnacentral:rRNA from 1 species